UAAAAAUUGAAAAAUUUUGGUCUCGGCAGAUUGCACAUCUUAUGGCAAUAACGUGAAAAAGCCCCCUGUAGCAAAUGAUUGAAUAGCCACAACCACCACAACAUGAGUUCCCUCGCAAAUCGAAAGGGGUGAUGGCAGACCACAAUAGCAACAAUAUUUGGGGAACUCUCUUCCCUCCACGGCCAAUGUCUGUCAAAACCAAAUGCCCGAUCGAAGUUUCAUUCUGAGAUAGCCCAAGUCAGUCUGGAAGACUGAUAUCGAACCAAUAUCAGAUGUGUUACUUGUCGGGGCAGUCGGACGACAUAUGCCCACGGCAUCCACAGUUGAAACAUGAACCUCCAAAGCCUCUGUACACAAAUUGAGAGAAAGAACAGCAAAAAACAAAAAGUGGUAAAAUUAAUAGCCAGGAAGGAGUCCAAAUUAGCAUGAAAUAACAUAAUGACAGGCCCAAGAUGACUUAUACAGUUUAAAGAACAAAAAUAUUUUGGUACUGUACCAGACCAACAUUUGGAAUAUCAAGACCGCGAGAUGCAACAUCAGUGGCAACAAGCACAGUAAAUUUUCCUUGUCGAAAUCCAUUCAAUGUUCUCUCCCUCUGAUGUUGAGAAAUAUCACCAUGCAAUGCCUUAGAAGCUAUGCUAUUUGUUAAAGCAAUAGACACAUAAUCUGCAUCUCGUUUUGUUUGUGUAAAAACAAUGAUUUUCCCACCCUUCGCAUAAUCCUGAAGAUUCAGACAAGAUUCAGUUUUUUUCAUGGUG